GCCAAUCAUUUUUUUAAUGAAAAAGCCUAAUAAGAUCACCAAUGCCACCAAUCUUGGCUAAGCUUAUAUAAGGUCAAUAUCAACACUCUUUUCAUCCCCUAAAACACAACCAACCUCUCUUGCAGCCACCAAGUUUUCCUCCCAAAUCCUCUUCCCUCUCUAUUUUCCAAGAACAUGGAGUUCUCAACCUUCCACCGCUCUACAUGGAAUUCUUUCUUCACCUCUCCUCUCCUCUUUCCUUAUCAUUUCAUUCCUGAAAAUUAUGUUCAUUGGAGAGAGACCCCUGAAUCUCACAUAUAAUCUGCUGAUCUUCCAGGUCUGAAGAAAGAGGAAAUAAAGGUGGAAGUUGAGGAUUCAAGAUACCUGAUAAUAAGAACUGAAGCUGCCAAUGAAACCACAGAACCAACAAGGAGUUUCUUGAGGAAAUUUCGGCUACCUGGAAUGGUGGAUAUGAAUGGAAUUUGUGCUAGUUAUAGAGAUGGUGUUUUGACAAUAACAGUUCCAAGAACACUUGUGAGAAGGGGAUUUUUCAUUGAGCCAGCUGACUUGCCAGAAAGGAUGGUGAAUCUUGGUGCUAGAGCUGCUUGAUAUAUUUUUUCCAAACAAGAUUGGUUAAUAUUCGUAAUACUUAAUCUUGUAAACAUUGAUUGUUUCGGGAGGAAUGGUCAUGCUCAGGAAUAGACAAUGAUUUGAAGAUUGUGCUCUCUUUGAGUAUCUGUACAUACUAUUGUGCUUUCUUUGAGUAUCUGUACAUACUUUAGAUUAAUGAUAAUCCUUAAACUAAAUUUGCUGUCGUUCCAAAAA